rnacentral:rRNA from 1 species
AGUGAACGCUGGCGGUAGGCCUAACACAUGCAAGUCGAACGGCAGCACAGUAAGAGCUUGCUCUUACGGGUGGCGAGUGGCGGACGGGUGAGGAAUACAUCGGAAUCUACUUUUUCGUGGGGGAUAACGUAGGGAAACUUACGCUAAUACCGCAUACGACCUACGGGUGAAAUCAGGGGUUCUUCGGACCUUGCGCGAUUGAAUGAGCCGAUGUCGGAUUAGCUAGUUGGCGGGGUAAAGGCCCACCAAGGCGACGAUCCGUAGCUGGUCUGAGAGGAUGAUCAGCCACACUGGAACUGAGACACGGUCCAGACUCCUACGGGAGGCAGCAGUGGGGAAUAUUGGACAAUGGGCGCAAGCCUGAUCCAGCCAUACCGCGUGGGUGAAGAAGGCCUUCGGGUUGUAAAGCCCUUUUGUUGGGAAAGAAAAGCAGCAGGUUAAUACCCCGCUGUUCUGACGGUACCCAAAGAAUAAGCACCGGCUAACUUCGUG